rnacentral:rRNA from 1 species
AGUGAACGCUGGCGGUAGGCCUAACACAUGCAAGUCGAACGGCAGCACAGUAAGAGCUUGCUCUUACGGGUGGCGAGUGGCGGACGGGUGAGGAAUACAUCGGAAUCUACUUUUUCGUGGGGGAUAACGUAGGGAAACUUACGCUAAUACCGCAUACGACCUACGGGUGAAAGCAGGGGAUCUUCGGACCUUGCGCGAUUGAAUGAGCCGAUGUCGGAUUAGCUAGUUGGCGGGGUAAAGGCCCACCAAGGCGACGAUCCGUAGCUGGUCUGAGAGGAUGAUCAGCCACACUGGAUCUGAGACACGGUCCAGACUCCUACGGGAGGCAGCAGUGGGGAUUAUUGGACAAUGGGCGCAAGCCUGAUCCAGCCCUACCGCGUGGGUGAAGAAGGCCUUCGGGUUUUAAAGCCCUUUUGUUGGGAAAGAAAAGCAGCAGGUUAAUACCCCGCUGUUCUGACGGUACCCAAAGAAUAAGCACCGGCUAACUUCGUG